AUUGAACGCUGGCGGCAGGCCUAACACAUGCAAGUCGAGCGGAUGACGCUAUCUUGGUCCUGGAUUCAGCGGCGGACGGGUGAGUAAUGUCUAGGAAUCUGCCUGGUAGUGGGUGAUACCGACCGAAAACGGGCGCUACUACCGAAUACUUUUUGAGGGAGUCAGUGGGGAAUCUUCAGACCUGACGCUAUCGAAGGACCUUCGGUCGAAUUAGCUGGUUGGUGGGGUACAGCACUACCAAGGCGAGGUUCCGUAAGGGGUCUGAGAGGAGAGUCAGCCACCCCGGAACUGAAACACGGUCCAGACUCCUAUGGUAGGCAGCGGAGGGGAAUAUUGGACAAUGGGCGAAAGCCUGAUCCAACCAUGCCGCGUGUGUGAAAAAAAGCUUCCGUUUGUAGAGCACUUUAAGUUGUGAGGAAGGGCAAUAAGUUAAUACCUUGCUGUUUUGACGUUACCAUCAGAAUAAGCACCGGCUGACUUCGUG
rnacentral:rRNA from 1 species